UCUUUUAUAUUUCCAGAUGCAGUUGCACUUUGGAGAUGUCCUAGUGCUGGAAGCGCUCCCUUGAAAAAUAUAUUUGAUUUUUGAAUUUUAUCUUGUGAUGUUAGAGAUAAUGGGACUAUAGUCUUUGGAAUUCAACACAGGCCUCCUUAGCAAUCACUUUGAUAAUCUAUUAAAAUAAAAAAGAAGGUGAAGAAUUUCCUCAUUGUCAGGCAGUAAGUCAAUGGCAGAGCUUGAACUUGACUUAUUUUGCUAAGAGGGAGCUAUAAACUCCAGACACAUUACAUCCAGCAAAUAUUACUGUUGAGUCGAGUGCCCACAAAGAUUAUGCUGAUGAAACAAUAUGGAUGUUACAGUGCUGGAAGUUUCUCUUUUAAAAUCACUGAGGGUUGCUUUACGUUCUGCCAAAGCCAAGAGGAACGCUAGCAAGGGAGACAAAGAGGUCCGAAAUGCGGCGUAUAGGCCUCCACUGGUCUGAAAGCUGAGUCACAGGAAUAACAUCCCUGCAGCGGGCCAGGCCCUCCAGGGAGGGACACCGCGACUUUGCGUGCGUAAGUCUGCACUAGAUAAAGCCAAUUUCUCAGCAAAACAAUGCCUGUUACCCUAGGUAUCACCCCGACCCUUAAUUAGUAUACACCAGUACGCAAGACCAAUUUUUGCGCUCCUCUUGUAAAACGGGAAAAUGCGUUUUGAAGGCAGUGUUGGACGGUGUUUUGCUCAUUUUCUCUUUCGUCAUUGUUGUGGUUAGGGGGCAAUGGUGGACUCGGGAUGGCUCCCCAAACGCCCGGCAGCCUUCAGAGGCCCUCCCAAGACGUGGAGCCAAAGACUUAAGAGGGCCUGUGGGUGACAUCACUUCAUUUACGUAGGAGGGCUCAUAAAACAGCGCUCGCCCACCUCGUCCUGGCAACUCGGCGGUGGACACUGCGCUGACUAGAUUUCGGUCCCUCACGCUCCUGGCUCCGGAUAAACAAUGAGACAAGGAAUUCUGCUUUUGUCACUUCCAUUCAACAUAAUAUGAGUACUGGAAUUUCUAGCUAGAGCAAUUAGUCAAGAAAAGGAAAUUGUCAUUCAAGUAAGAAAUGAAGAAGCAGAUCUCAAAAUUGCAGAAAUUGCAGAUCUCAAAAAAAGAAAAAAAAAAAAGAAAGAAAGAAAAAGAAAAGAAAAACAGACGCCUCAGGAAACAAAGCGUAUGGAACUGAAGUAAGGAUCCUGGCUGCGGAAAGAGAACCCUUGUGCAAAAAGAGCACUGGAAAAGACAGGAGAGGCCAGAGCAGUCAUAUCAAAGUUAAAAAGACUGAGUCAAGAGGGUCCGGGCAAAUCACGGGGAAAGAAAGAGGGUUAAGUCGCAAGUAUAUUUUGAAUAAAUCACUCAAUGUGGGUGUGCAAGGCUUAUUAGAAAAACAAACGCCUGGCGGGGCGUGGUGACUCACGCUUGUAGUCCCAACACUUUGGGAGGCCUAGGCGGGAAAAUCACGAGGUUAGGAGAUCGAGACCAUCCUGGCCAACACAGUGAAACCCGGCCCUACUAAAAAUACAAAAGUGCGUAGUGGUGAUGCCAGCCUGUAGUCCCAGCUACUCCGGAGGCUGAGGCAGGAGAAUCGCUCGAUUUCGGGAGACGGAGGUUGCAGUGAGCCGAGAUCGGACCACUAAACUACAGCUUGGAGACAAGAGUGAGACUCCGUGCCAAAAAAAAAAAAGAAAAAAAAAAAAAGGAAAAACAGACGCCUCAAGAAACAAACCAAGUGGAAUUAAAGGAAGGUAGGACGCCCCUUGUGGUCCUGAGGCCUCUUCCGUCCUGCUAAUGGGGGCACCCCUCUUGGGGGGCUUGGGCCUGCUCACACCUGGACGGAGGGGGAAGGUAGGAGGGGCAAGAAGCGGUUGGUGCGCACAGGGACGCGCCUGCGUGGGGGCUUCCCCAGGGCUCUCCGGCGUGCGUGGAGAGACGCUAGACACCACCCUCCCGCGGAGUGUCCAGGUUCUCAGUCCCAGAGACCCGCCCAAGGGCACUGCGCCCAGCCCCCUUGUCACUCACACGCCUUCCAGCCAAUGGCGCGGCCGCCUGUCUUCCUUACCCCACCCCUGGAGGGCAAGCCGGGAGCGAGGUGGGCUGGGAGUGCCUGGAUGGAUUUUGAAGAAUCAAACUUUCCGGCGUAGUAGCUGCGGCUGCCUGGUCCCCAGCAGUGCGGCCCUGGCGCGGAACAGGGAGCAUCGACCCGCCCCCUCGCCCCGGAUCCGCAGCCAUGGUGCCGGGGAUGCCUGGCGCGGUCCUGACCCUCUGCCUCUGGCUAGCGGCCUCCAAGGGCUGCCUGGCGGCCAGCCCUAGCGCAACUGCUGCGAGGCGGCUGGACUAGUCGCUAUUUGUCGGGAGCGUCUUGCGCGCCCGCUGCGCCUCCAGGUGCGUAAGCUUGCAGAUCAUGCUCAUCUCUGCCUUCUUUCGGACUUCCAGGUACGUGGAGACUGCAGCCCGCCCCAGAUUCUUUCUGGGGCUGCCGCCGCGGCGAUUGUGCACCCGGGCGCGCGGCGACCAGCCUAAGCGCGUCAAGUUUUCCGCCAGCGCAGCGGGCUGAUCCUGGCUUCCCCUGGGCGUGGAUCUUACAGUCGGGGUGCUUAAACCCUGUUUUGCAGCCUCCUCCCGGCUCCCGAAAUGAAAAAGAAGCCCUAGGCGUCUUGCGCCAACUGCGUCCUUCCCAGAAGGAAAACAAAGGCGAUUUCCUUGAGGAGGGAGAGUAGUGAAUGCCAAGGGUGGGUGUGUGGAUGUGGCGGUUUCCCGGGAAUUGAGUGCGCGAGACUCCGGGCGGUUGGCAACUCCCGCGAAGUCCCAGGCGCCCAGGGGCACUGGAAGGGAGUCUGGGAGGCGCCCCCGGCUGCGCCCGGGGACCAUGCCUCGAGCCCCAGCUCCGCAGGUGCCCGCGGGCCGACACUUUUUCACUUUUGAACGAUGAUUUUCACCCUCCGCGGGCCGAGAGCUCGCUACCGAACCUUGGAUUCCCUAAUCAGGGCACUUGUGCCAAGUCGUGUUCCAGGGUGCGUGUAUGCGCGUGUUGGAGGGUGCAGGUGGCUGUGCGCGCCUCAGUUCGGAGUCCCUGAAGAUUCAAGGUCUUGUACAGUAGCGUAGAGCGUCAGAGAAGUGCCGGGGACAGGGGAUUCGGCGGGACGGUGUUUGGAAACUCCAGGGACGUGUUCCGAGGUUACUGUCCCCCAAACCCAUACUUAGGUUCUUUCAACAUGCGAGUAGAGGAGUGUGUGUGUGUGUGUGUGUGUGUGUGUGUGUGUGUACGCGCGCGCGCGCGCGCUCAUGUGUAUGGGAGUGUGCAGGAACCGCGUGCUUUGCUCCUGAGGGUUGCCCGGACCCUGCACCGUGGUUCGGAUUCCCUGCCGGACUUUAGCGGAGGCUCCUGGUGCGGUGGGCGCAGAGUGCGGCUGCUACCUCUUUCAGCCCUGUGGAGCGCGCGAGUUCUGAAACCCUUCAUUUAUUUUUCACCUCUCUCAGCUUCUCCUCUCCUUCUUACUCUGUACCUAGGUGCCCACCUGUUCCAAGUUUCCAACUUCUCGCCUCAGGGAAAUUCUAGGGGGACCAAAAGGAGAGGUGGGUGCUUGGCGGGAGGCUGACUUCCUGGCUGGGCGGGAACAGGAAAGCCAGCCCUUGGCUCUUAAAACUGGGGUCUUCUCCUGCCGAGGAGGGGAGGGCGUCAAGAGGAGGCCCUGGAAAUUAAGCUGCCAGAGAAGGCGAUAUUAUAAGGGUGGAGUGUGGAAGUAAUUCCCCUUAACCCUCGGGGAUGAUCUUGAACCUGCUGGCAAAGCCGGCGCGUGCUCGAAUGUGCCGUUGUGUUUGUUCCAAAUCAUAGAAAGAGUAUCUCCUGGGAGUCAGAGAAAUGGGCACACUCUGCAGUCCUCCUGGGUCUUCAGGGAAUGGAAGACCCAGUGCUCACCUCCUGCGGUGAAAUUACCCAGACACCCUGGACAGAGCCAGGAGAGAGCCCGGUCCCCAGCCACCUGGUUUCCAACCCUCCGUGCCCUACCAUGAAAGUCACUCUCCUGAGAAGAUGCCACAUUGUUGUUUGAAACAACAGAAAACAAACAAAACAGGGCAGCCUAUUCCCGGAGAAUAGGCUUUUUUUUUUUCUUUUAAAUUGUCAGUGCUGUAAUUUAUUUGUUUUACAGUUUUAGUGGCUAAAGCAGCAGUUUAGAUGAAGCCAGUUCCCCGAGAAAGACUUUUAUUGUGGUUUCCUUGGCAUGAUUUCUCUUCGGAAGAAAAACUGCUGACGGAAUGUACAUUGUUAGACAAUCCUGAUUACAUUUUAAUUAGCUGGGGGUGAAAUAAGCUGCAAAUUAGUUAGGACUCAAUAAGUGCUUUGUCAUCAAUUGCAAAGCCAUUCUGGGAGCUUUAACCCUAACCUGGUAAUGCCUAAAUUGACUUAUCUAAAUGGCAGGGAUUAAGCUUUCUUAAGAUGUAAAAGACAGCAACACACUCUCCUUACAAAACCCCAAGCUUCUCUGUUCACCACAACUUGGCUUAUUUAUUUAUUUAUUUAUUAACAAUUAGAAGGAAGAUGGGCCAGGU